UUAGAGUCCCUGCUUGGCCUGGCCCUGCCACCUCCAGCUUAGACAGAAGCUGACGAGGAGCUGUCCUGCUCAGGCCUGAGGUCAGGGCACAGACAGCAUAGAACCUGGGCUUCUGAGUCCCAGCCCAGACACGACCACCUAUGCUCCUGGCUGUCCUGGAACUUGUUCUAUAGACUAGGCUUGAACUCAGAAAUCCGCCUACCUCUGCCUCCCAAAUGCAGGGAUUAGAGGCGUGCACUACCACACCUGACUUAGAUGCUAGAGUUACAAAACUGACAAAGUGGCAAGGACACCCUCAAAGAAAUCACACUUGAGCUGUGACCUCAUGGCCUGAUGCACAGGCCAUGAAUAGUCAGAGAGGGAAAGAAAACAAGACUCAAUAAAAGCAUGUGCAAAGACCCUGUAGAAAGAGGAAACGUGGUGACAUACGGGCCAGAAAAAAACCAGUGUUCUAUAGAACAGAAAGAUAGAAUGGAAGGAGAUGCCCCACCUCUGGGGGGCAGAGUGAAUGCCUCUUACCAAACGCCUACGUGUAGCAGGCACUAUUAUAGGUGCUUGGUAAACUUAAUGCCACUGUACCUCAGGUGUGAGAUAGUUCCAUUAUUAGAUAGUUGAGGUAACUUGCCCAAAAUCAUAGUGACAGUGUGUGUCACAGUCAACGUGGGGGCCCAGAACCCAUUACAGACAUGUAGAGCUUCAGACAAUCUGGGUUCACCAAACCCAUGUGAAACAGUUGGAGGUUUACCUACAAAAAAACAAGGAGCCUCUGAUGGUUAGGACAGGAAUGAUGUAAUCAACACAUUUUGCAAAGAUACCCUGGCUUUAUGGACUAGCAAGGACUUGGGGUGGGUCCAGGGUAGCAUGACCCAUGCCAGUGAGAAGGUCAUAGUACUGGAGUGUUCCUGUGAUGGCAUGGGUGGGCUUGGAAUUUAAGAGGAUUUGGGAGGAAUUUAGGCAGCCAAAUCUGCAAGGCCCAGGAGUACAUGGGAGAUUGUGUAAUAGGAAGGGAAGUUGAGGGAGAUCAUGGAUUUAAGGGUCUAUUGGGUGUGGGCUUCCUUUAAGAAAUUCCAGAGGUGGGACUGUAGAGGUAGGUGGCUCAGAGGUUAAGAGCACUGGCUGCUUUUCCAGAGGUCCUGAGUUCAAUUCCCAGCAACCACAUGGUGGCUCACAACCAUCUAUAAUGUGAUCAUGUGACUUCUUAUGGUGUGCAGGCAUACAUGCAGGCAGAACACUGUAUACAUAAUAAAUAAAUAAAUCUUUUUAAAAAAGACAGAAAAACCCCAAAGGUGAUGGCAAUGACCUGGGGGAAAGGUUUAUGCAUCCUUUGCCACAGACCUGAUGGAAUGAACCUAGGAGAAGACGGGAAGCAAGACCAGAACUCCAACUCUGAUAGACCAGCAGGGAGGACCAAUCGGCAGAAGGGGCCACAAUGGAGUGACCAGAUAGAGGCUGUAAUCUUCUCCAGCCAGAGGUUUGAAGAAACACUGAAGGUCGUGAAAUGAUUAUCGGAGUGUAGAAGCCAUCCUUGGAAAUCAAAGGAUUGCAGAGGCUGAUGUUUGAUGACUGGAGUGCAGGACUUCACAGGAAGCCGGCUUGCCCUGGUCCUACUCCCUUAGCGCCUAGAGCACACUGUCCUGUGAACAUAAUUGCUCUUAGCAUCUUCAUCGAGCAGCUGUGGCUGCUUGCUAGCAACCCUCAAGAUUGAGUCUGGUGACAUCCUUUCCCAGAAAGGGGAUGGGGUGAGGUCAUUAGACCCUCACCUGAGAUUCCAGCUGCUCCUUCCUAGACCUCCCCUCUAGAUGUAAGUGAUUCAGAUGAGCUGCAGGUAGUUGUGUUGUCUGUGGAGGAGCUGGGGUACAGAGACUGGAAGGUUAUCUGAAGGGGCGCUCUGCCCGUGCAGGUGUGGGGAAGUCAUCGUCUGUGCUGGGGUGGGACCUUUGAUGGUGUAGCUGCUUUGGGAUUGAUCACUCUUGCUUUGUAAGGAAGCCUAAUAAACUUGGUUCACCGGACUGGA